AGACGUCUACAUUAGAUACCCGUGUAGUCCCAGCCGUAAACUAUGCGCGUUAGGUGUAUCGGUGACCACGAGUCACCGAGGUGCCGAAGGGAAACCGUGAAACGUGCCGCUUGGGAAGUACGGUCGCAAGGCUGAAACUUAAAGGAAUUGGCGGGGAGCACCACAACGGGUGGAGCCUGCGGUUUAAUUGGACUCAACGCCGGGAAGCUCACCGGAUAAGACAGCGGAAUGAUUGCCGGGCUGAAGACUCUGCAUGACUAGCUG
rnacentral:rRNA from 1 species